rnacentral:lncRNA from 9 species
GGCGGGGCCCGGAGUUUAUACCGCCGCGCGCGGGCCGCUGGCGGCAGACAAUACGGCUCCCGGCUCCAGCGCUCCGGGCGGACGCCGCCGCCACCGCCGCCACCGCCGCCACCGCCGCGAGGUAAGUCCGAUCCCUGCCGCCUCUGCUGGGGACCUAACUCCGCUGCCGUCCGCCCCUCCGCCCGGCCCCAGCCCUGCAGGUAGGCGCCGGGGGCUGCCCUGGGCGCCGAGCGGCUGGAAGCUGGGGGCCAUGUGCCCAGGUUUUGCUUACUCGGGUUGACUCCUUGGGGGCGACGUCUCGGGACCUCGGUUCCGGAACAAUCCUUCGCUGGCGGAGGCUCCAGUUCCCCGUUGGUGGGCGUGCCAGCCGCGGCCCCGAGGGCCUCAGUCUCCGCAUCCGUACAAUGGGCCACCCUUCUGCACCGCACCCCGGGGGCCGGACGCCCCUUUGCUCAGCGCCUCCUUCUGGUGCGGCCUCUGGGGCCGGGCUCCCACGUCCUUCGGGUCCUGCGGACCCGGCCGGAGCGCGGAACCCCCAGGCCGGGGCCGCGGUGACAGAGCCGCGCGGCCACGAAAAAGGGGAAUAUGGCGUCGGGCACUGGUCCCCGCCGGCCCCGGGGCGCCCCGGCGCCGCGCACCUGCGAAGGGCCCGAGAAGAACUUGACCGGGGCCGCAGGCGGGGCGGUCCGGAACAGGAACUGCGCGCCGAGCGGGCGCCGCCGCCCUCCGCCUGCCCACUGCCUGCGCAGGUGCGCCCGGCGGGGAAGGCGCCCGGUUUGGUUUUGUAAACCGGGGACCGCCGGCCGCCGCAGCGCUGGAGUGGCCGCCGGGCGCGUUCCAUCCGGUGACCGCGAGGGGUCCCGCCGCCCAUCCCCGCGCGGUCCAAACCAGCCCUGGGCUGGGGACUCGAGGCUCCUUAACACUUGCUCCACGCGCUCCUGUCUCCUGGGUGCGAAACGAGAAGAAAUGUAUGAAGCAAGACCCCUCUCCAGGAGCCUCUUCUUGUACACCUUCCUGCAAAACCAUGGCCCCAGCUUCCUGGACGAGCAAGUGGUGGGGGUUCCUGGCGUGACCAAUAUCUUGGAGUUCCACCCUGAGGUCUCCCCCCACAGCAGUGAGGCCCCCCAUCACCUGGCCAUGCAGCUGGCCUCCAUUGCCGAUGAUCUGGAGCUGAGGUUGCUGCUGCCCCAGUUCGCCGAGCCACUCUGGAUGAUCGUGUACAGCUCUUUCUUCCCCUUUAGCCAGAUAGGCCCGAGGGAUGUUCUUAGAAGCUUCAUGAUUGCGUUCACGAACCUCAGGGAGAACCGAAGGCUCAGGAGCAUCUUGUCCCUCAGGGACAGGGUGUCUCCCAGCCUGUGGCCCGAGCUGGCGCUGUCCCUGCUGCUGGUGGUGAUGCUUGCCUGGAGGUGACCAGCUGCUGGCCAGUGUGGGGUGGGGCAGGCCCCUCCCCCUUGACCACCACCCUGGAGGUGGCCGUUUUGGAUUUGUUGUCUUUAACUGGUGAUCUUUUUUUUUUUUUUUUUAAAUAUUUAAACUCCAAGUGCUGGGACACUGAGGUUCAUAUUCAUUUUUUUCUUUUCUUUCUUUUUUUUGUAAGAGAAAUGAAUUCAUUAUACUUCCAGGGUCGUUACUGGUGAACGCACCUGCUCCCCUGGCCCAGCCUGCGCUGUGCCGAGAAGGUGCCUCCUCCUUGUGGGUUGGUCACAGCGGACGUCAGGGGGGGUGCUGGUCACACCCCUGUGUCUGUGAUGCCUGCGGCAAAAAAGAAUCUGCUGGAAUAGAUUUCUGCAGGGUGAGGAGAGCUCAAUAAAAUGUUGGUUUCCA